AUUGAACGCUGGCGGCAGGCCUAACACAUGCAAGUCGAGCGGAUGAAGGGAGCUUGCUCCUGGAUUCAGCGGCGGACGGGUGAGUAAUGCCUAGGAAUCUGCCUGGUAGUGGGGGAUAACGUCCGGAAACGAGCGCUAAUACCGCAUACGUCCUGAGGGAGAAAGUGGGGGAUCUUCGGACCUCACGCUAUCAGAUGAGCCUAGGUCGGAUUAGCUAGUUGGUGGGGUAAAGGCCUACCAAGGCGACGAUCCGUAACUGGUCUGAGAGGAUGAUCAGUCACACUGGAACUGAGACACGGUCCAGACUCCUACGGGAGGCAGCAGUGGGGAAUAUUGGACAAUGGGCGAAAGCCUGAUCCAGCCAUGCCGCGUGUGUGAAGAAGGUCUUCGGAUUGUAAAGCACUUUAAGUUGGGAGGAAGGGCAGUAAGUUAAUACUUUGCUGUUUUGACGUUACCAACAGAAUAAGCACCGGCUAACUUCGUG
rnacentral:rRNA from 1 species